CCAAGGAGUCUAACAUGUGCGCGAGCCGCGGGGCAGUACGAAACCCGUAAGGCGAAAUGAAGGUGAUCGCCGGCGCGGUCCGGCGGAGGUUGGAUCCCGUCCCGUCGGGGCGGGCGCACUACCGGCCGAUCUUCUCCGCCCUGUCGGCGAGGUCGAGCGAGAGCGUGCAAGUCGGGACCCGAAAGAUGGUGAACUAUGCCUGAGGAGGUUGAAGCCAGAGGAAACUCUGGUGGAGGACCGUAGCGAUUCUGACGUGCAAAUCGAUCGUCAAAUUUGGGUAUAGGGGCGAAAGACUAAUCGAACCGUCUAGUAGCUGGUUCCCUUCGAAGUUUCCCUCAGGAUAGCUGGCGCUCUGUCGCAGUUUUAUCUGGUAAAGCGAAUGAUUAGAGGUCUUGGGGGCGAAACGCCCUCAACCUAUUCUCAAACUUUAAAUUGGUAAGAAGCCCGACUCGCUCGUUUGGAGCCGGGCAUGGAAUGCGAGUGCCAAGUGGGCCACUCUUGGUAAGCAGGACUGGCGAUGCGGGAUGAACCGAACGCCGGGUUAAGGCGCCCGACGCGACGCUCAUCAGAGCCCACAAAAGGUGUUGGUUGAUAUAGACAGCAGGACGGUGGCCAUGGAAGUCGGAAACCGCUAAGGAGUGUGUAACAACUCACCUGCCGAAUCAAUCAGCCCUGAGAAUGGAUGGCGCUGGAGCGUCGGGCCUAUACCCG
rnacentral:ncRNA from 1 species